UACGUAGGGGGCAAGCGUUAUCCGGAUUUACUGGGUGUAAAGGGAGCGUAGACGGCUGAGCAAGCCUGAAGUGAAAGGCGGGGGCCCAACCCCCGGACUGCUUUGGGAACUGUCAGGCUGGAGUGCCGGAGGGGUAAGCGGAAUUCCUGGUGUAGCGGUGAAAUGCGUAGAUAUCAGGAGGAACACCGGCGGCGAAGGCGGCUUACUGGACGGCAACUGACGUUGAGGCCCGAAAGCGUGGGGAGCGAACAGG
rnacentral:rRNA from 1 species